AUUACAGUGUAAGAUUCUUUUAUGACGUCUUAUAAUUGAAAUGAGUUCAGCGUUAAACUUUCAUGAGGAUCAAGUGGAGAACUAGUGAGGUACCAGCCGCUGUGGUAAUUCCAAGUUCAC
rnacentral:rRNA from 1 species